AGGGCCAUACCUGAAGCAUAUGGAAGUUCCCAGGCUAGGGGUCGAAUCAGAGCCGUAGUCGCCAGCCUACACCACAGCCAUAGCAAUGCCAGAUCCUUACCCCACUGAACGAGGCCAGGGAUCAAACCUGCAUCCUCAGGGAUGCUAGUCAGAUUCGUUAACCACAGGAGCCACAAUGGGUACUCCUGUUCGGAUCAAUUCUGAGUCUGGGCUGAGUUGUGGCAUUAUCCUCCAUGAGUAGCAAGUAUAUAAUCCCCCAUCACUCCCUUCAUGUCCUUCUCCUGGAUGCCCCAGAUGUGACUGUGUGUUAGCACCUCCCUCCUCUGACCCCACUAUGUCACUCUUCAGAAAGCUUGUCCUCUACAGGUUGACAUUCUGCAUUCUCGCUCAAACAUUAACUAAAACAUAUCCAUGGGUCCUUUGUGCCAAAUUCCAACAGCAUCUUGUAAGAUGUUUACUGUCUUUGAAAGGGAAAGCUUGAGACUUCAUGCCAUUGGCUUAGUUUAGUCCUGGGAACCCUGGGAAUACCCUGUCUGCCUACCUAGGACAGCAGCAGCCUUCAGUGACUGCAUUCCAUCUUCACAACAAUACUGAGCUCAAAGAAUUGAUGAGGCCGAUUUUCCUACCAUACAGAUGAAAGGACUGAGGUGCUGUUGGCUUGAAUGACAGUGAUCCAAAGCUCAGGACAAGUCACAAUUAGGCAGCGGGACCUAAUUGUCACGAGGGACAAUUAAGAGAGUCUCCUGCUCCUGUACACUCUAUCUGUGUCUAGACUUUGAACUCUGAGGAUAAUCUAUGACUAGAGGGCACUGAGGAAGAGGGACUUACCCACCCCCCUCCAGUCAUCCCUCUUGGUCCAAGAGCCUGAGGUAUCAAUUUCCUCGGCUCAUGCGCAGCUGGGUGGGGCCAGGGCAGAGGGUCCAGGGCCAUCCUUCUGCUGGGAAUUGCCUUCUCUGGAAAUCAGAUCCCUUUCAAUGAGCCUAGUGACGCCACCUUCAACUUCCUGGUGCUCUAUGAUGUGAACAGUAUCGGAAGAACCCUGCCAUGCCUCAAUGGAUGCCACCUGGCAUGUCUACAUGAGUGUUCACAGAUUUGGGAGCAAGACUGAGUAGAAAGAUCACAACGAGGUCCUUUGUGCCACAGGUGCACUGUAGGGCCCUCAUGCCUCCUUCCCCAGAGGUAAAGGGAGGGAGAAUGGAAACUGCUGUGCCUUCAUCCCCUGAACCUCAUCAGUGACUACAGGGGCACAAGGGAAACAGAAAGGAAAAAUGAAAUUUGGACUUGAAAAAAAAAAUAAGUUAGAAGGCAUUGACUUAUUUUACAAAAGGAGCCAAGUCAAGGUUUCUAGAAAUUAAUCAUCUUUGACGUAUGAAGGAGUGAUGCAUCAGUCUCUCCAGGCAGGUGUUUGUUUUACGACCUCCACAUGACCUUCGUGACUAUUGCUCACAUGAGUGAGUAACAGCCUUCAGGUGAAUUGUAACAUACAGAGAAAAAGCUGAAUGCCAUCUUUUUAUAAAGAGCAUAUACUCCAGUAAACGUGCUUUCUGGAAGACAACUCUCUUCACAGUGCCUUCAUAAGCCCAACCACAGCUAAGCCUACAUCUCUCCCCUGCUCUCCAUACCCUUCUACUCCCAGCUCAUGGCCUUGAUGGUAUCUCUGACCAAAAUUGCCCCCAACUCCACUGCAGAACCCCUUUCCUAGGCUGAUUUUGAGUUGAGAUCACAAUCUGCUCUGAAAUUCCCAGUACAAUGGCUCUGUCUGCUUUUCUUCUUCUGUAUUAUUUCCAACUCAUUUCGUUUGGGACAUCUUCAUUAGAACAUCAAUGUAAGUGGUAUAUAUACACAAUGGAAUACAACUCAGCCAUAAAAAAGAACAAAAUAAUGCCAUUUGCAGCAACAUAGAUGGAACUAGAGACUCUCAUACUGAGUGAAGUAAGUCAGAAAGAGAAAGACAAAUACCAUAUGAUACCACUUAUAUCUGGAAUCUAAUAUACGGCACAAAGGAAACUUUCUACAGAAAAGGAAAUCAUGGACUUGGAGAAUAGACUUGUGGUUGUCAAGGGGGAUGGGGAAGGAGUGGUGUGGAUGGGGAGCUUGGGGUUGUUAGAUGCAGAAGAUUGCCUUUGGAAUGGAUUAGCCAUGAGAUCCUGCUGUGUAGCACUGGGAACUAUGUCUAGGCACUUAUGAUGGAGCAUGAUAACGUGAGAAAAAAAGAUGUAUACAUGUAUGUGUAACUGGGUCACCAUGAUGUACAGUAGGAAAAAAAAGGUAAAGAAAAAAGUUUGGAAAGGAAGAAAGGUAAAAGCCUGGGAUCGGUCUACCAUCUUGAACCCUUCUCUGAAGGUUUUGAACAUUCCCCAGAUUAUUUUGAUAUUCAAUUCCCCUGAUGGCUGUUUGAGAAUCACUUGGGAGGUUUUGAGUUCAUCAGUGGAUUUAAUAAUAUUGAACAACAUUAUCCUAUGAAGGGGAAUGGGAACCCCAAGUGUAAAUUAAGGACGGUGCCAUGAGGGACUAAACUGAAGCAGGACACAGUAAUAAAGAAAAAUAAAACAUGCAUCGUCGGAAUGGUUUGUCACUGUUUUGUUAAGGAUUUUCAUAAGAUGAAACAUUCGGGGGAUGGGUGGCACCUUGUGAAAGUUUUCAACCCCUUAUCAAAGCACCCUUCCCAACACCUCCAGUAGUUCCAGUAUAUCAAUGCAUCUUCUAUAACCCCAGCUCAUUUGUGACCAAGAAUAAGUUUUGCUGAAGCUUUUUCUGUAAAGGUGGGUCUGCUUCCCUAGCUUUACAAUACCUCUUUUCUUUUCUUUUUCUUUAGUCUUUUUAGGGCUGCACCCGAGGCAUAUGGAGGUUCCCAGACUAGGGGUCGAAUCGGAGCUGCAGCCUCUGGCCUAUGCAAGCCACAGCUACGGCAAUGCAGGAUCCAAGCCGUGUCUGUUCAUGGCAACAUCGGAUCCCUACCCCACUGAGCAAGGCCAGGGAUCAAACCUGUGUCCUCACGGAUGCGAGUCAGAUUCGUUUCUGAUGAGCCACGUCAGGAACUUCCAGCACCUCUCUUCUUUCCCAAAUCGUGAGCUCUGAGGCAGGAUCUGCAUAAUCGAUACUUAUUGACCAAUAACAUUUUAUCCCCUGAUUGAAUAUUUACAAAAUUCCUGAGUACUUCCGAAUGAUAAUGCACCACGAAGCUAUUUCACAGGCUACAAUAACGGUGCCGGCCUUAAGUGAGCUUAAACUCCAGUACCAUUGCUACCUUCUACACGAUAAAGCAAUUAUGGUAGAAAGAGAACACCGUUUCUUAAAAUCAGAAAGCCUCAGUUUUAUUCCUCAUACUGAAAACAAUUAGCUGGAUGACCUUGAGAAAUCUCUUCAAGCUUUCCAGGUCCAUUUCUUCACUUAGGACUUAAAGCAGCUGAACGAGAAGAUCUAUCAAAUUCGUCCCAGCUUUUAAUAUGUCAUGUUGAGCGAGUCGCCCAAAUUGCCGGCUUCUUUAUUCUUUUCUUCCAUGAAAGAUGCUAAACAUUCUUGGGUAGUUUCCUUCUUUGUUAUUUCCCCAAGUUCCCCUUCUCAGCAGGAGAGCAUGCGAGGCAUAGCUUGAGAAGACCAGAGCUUGACGCUCAGCCCUACCAUUUUCUGCCAAAAGAAUUUCCUCAACGCUUGAGUUUCAGUUUUCUGAUGGGCACGCAUGGAAUUAAGAAUACCUACUGUUAUUGUUAUCUGUUGUCAUCUUAUUUUGAGAAUCAAAUAAAAACACUUUCAGUAAUAAAGCAUUACAUAUUCUUAUAGCACUAUUUGCCAUAAAGGAAAGAGUGAGUCUUGGGUACGAAACAGCAAGUUCCUAAGAAAGGUGUCGCUUCCUCCCUGUGUCACGGUGGCAGCAGCCCUCACUUGGUGCUUUGUGAAGUGGAAGAUGCACAUUCUGGCUGCUGUCCUGAGGAACUGGUUCUGACAGGAACUCCUAUCUGCUAAGUGCUUUAUGGCCCCAUGUGCCAGGUGACUCACGUGUCACCCGAGACACAGGUGCAGAAAGCUAGGAAGAAGCAGGAGGAGCUGUGAGCAGCAAUCCGGCCCAUUCAAGGCCUGCUUUCUGCACCAGCCCACCUGCUGCUCCUCUCCUGGGCUGCCUUGCAAACCACCGUCUUUACUCAGAAGGCACAUCCUCGCUCUUCUUCCCUCAGGCCUUCAUCCCAACUCCCCCACUUAGGAAUCUUAAAUCCUCAGCUCAAUUUCUCCGAAGCCUUCCUGCAGGCUCGCCUUCGUGUCCUCACUCCACCGCCACACGGUCCUCAGGCAGAAACAGCCUUUCUCACACACUGAUGAGAAACUGCUGCUGGAAUGCCCUCUUACCAGGCAAAAGGAAACGGGGCUGAACCUUUCUCUACAACAAGGCUUGCCUUGGUUUUUCUAAAAUUAAUGAUGCUACUCCAAUCUUUCUUACCUGUCCUAUCCCCAAUACCUCGCAUUCCCCAAAGGCUUUAUAAAAUACUCUGUGAUACUCAUCGUGCAUGUAAAACUCCAUAAAUACUAAUAACCUUCAUGCCUGAUAUAAGUAAAUUUAACAAAUGAGGUCAAGAGCGAUCUCAUAUUCACUGGCAAGGAGAGGAGUUAUCGGAAUGUCUAUGGAAGUGCGUCCAUCUCCUUCUCUUUGGUGGUUGCUGAUCGCUGUGAAAUAGGGGACCGUUUUUCAUACUGAUAUUUAAAAAUGUCCCAAAUGCUCACUGACAGACACUACAAAGGAAAAGCCACCCACCACUUACUAGUCAAACUGUAAAUACCAGUUGCGCAAUGAAGAUUUGGCAAAAGCUACUCAAGUUAUUUACACCCAUAAUCUGGAAGUCCAUUUAUAGAAACUUAGCCCAUAUGUACAGAUAGAGGUUUUUCACAUGUAAGGGCAAAAGACUGUCAAUAUAGAAGUGCAUAGAGAGGACUGAGUAAAAUAUGAAAUAAAAUAAGAUUCAAUAUUAUUCAAAAUCAUGAUAUAGUGGAGUUUUUUUUUCCAAAUCCACCAAUUCUCUGAUACUCUUCCCUUUAAGAGGUGGAGCCAGGCCCCCCAUGCUUGACCCCUCGAGAGUGGGCUGGACUCAGUGACUCAAAUCUAACAAAGAGAACCUGGCAGAGCUCGUGACUUGCGAGACUGGGAUGUAAAAGGCAUUAGAGCUUCUCUCUGCCUCUUUUUCUUGGAUUCCUUCCUUGCUCUUCUUGGAUCACCUCUUAGAGAAGCCAGUUGCCAGGUCAACCCUCCAGUGGAGCUAUAGAAAGGUCCAAGAGCUAGCAAGGGUCUGAGGGCUUUUGCCAACAGCCAUGUGAGUGAAGCAUCUCAGGUUCAGGUUCAGGUUCUCCAGGCGCAGUCAAGCCUUCACAUGACAGCAGCCCCAGGCAACAUCAUGGCUGCAACCUCAUGGAGACCUUGAACCAGAACCACCAAGCUAAGCAUUGCAAACCCACUGGACCUCUGAGAUAACAAAUGUUUAUUGCUUCGAGCUGUUAAAUUUUGGAGUAAUUUGUCAUGCAGCAACAGAUAAUACACAUGAGUAAAUAUGACUUUUGAAAAAAUCAUUUACAUGUUUAAAAAAUCUAUUUAGAAGUUCCCAUCGUGGUGCAGCAGAAACAAAUCCGAUUAGGAACCAUGAGGUUGCGGGUUCGAUCCCUGGCCUUGCUCAGUGGGUUAAGGAUCUGGGUUGCCGUGAGCUGUGGUCCACAGCAACACCAGAUCCGAGCCGCAUCCGUGACCUACACCACAGCUCAUGGCAAUGCCAGAUCCUUAACCCACUGAGCGAGGCCAGGGAUCAGACCUGCAUCCUCAUGGAUGCUGGUCAGAUUUGUUUCACUGAGCCAUGACGGGAACUCCUUGAAAAAUUAUAAGUAGAAAAUUUCUUCUUCUAUGUUCAUCUAGUCCUUAGUAUUCUAUGUUCAUGAGGCAGUUUGUAAAAUAUUAGCCCAUCAAAACUCAUCUGUGAGGGAUGCCUGAUAAUAAAAGCCACUGGCAUCUGUGGAAGCGUGAUGAGCUACCUUCAACUGGGGGUACAGGACAGAAGGUCCCCCAGGCCAUUUGGGUCCAC
rnacentral:lncRNA from 1 species